GGCUUUUCUGGGAGGUGGGGGAAGGGAUAGAGCCACACGCUCUGUCCCUUCCCCCACCUCCUGCAAAAGCC
rnacentral:miRNA from 1 species